rnacentral:rRNA from 1 species
CUUCCACAAUGGACGAAAGUCUGAUGGAGCAACGCCGCGUGAGCGAAGAAGGUUUUCGGAUCGUAAAGCUCUGUUUCGAGGGAAGAACAAGUACGGGAGUAACUGCACGGACCUUGACGGUACCUCGUCAGAAAGCCACGGCGAACUACGUGCCCGCAGCCGCGGGAAUACGUAGGGGGCAAGCGGUGUCCGGAAUUAUUGGGCGUAAAGGGCGCGCAGGCGGUCCUUUAAGUCUGAUGUGAAAGCCCGCGGCUCAACCGUGGAGGGUCAUUGGAAACUGGAGGACUUGAGUACAGAAGAGGAAAGCGGAAUUCCACGUGUAGCGGUGAAAUGCGUAGAGAUGUGGAGGAACACCAGUGGCGAAGGCGGCUUUCUGGUCUGUAACUGACGCUGAGGCGCGAAAGCGUGGGGAGCAAACA